rnacentral:rRNA from 1 species
CCAGAGAACUUAGCAGAGAUGCUUUGGUGCCUUCGGGAACUCUGAGACAGGUGCUGCAUGGCUGUCGUCAGCUCGUGUUGUGAAAUGUUGGGUUAAGUCCCGCAACGAGCGCAACCCUUAUCCCUUUGUUGCCAGCGGCUCGGCCGGGAAACUCAAAGGAGACUGCCGGUGAUAAACCGGAGGAAGGUGGGGAUGACGUCAAGUCAUCAUGGCCCUUACGGCCAGGGCUACACACGUGCUACAAUGGCGCAUACAAAGAGAAGCGACCUCGCGAGAGCAAGCGGACCUCAUAAAGUGCGUCGUAGUCCGGAUUGGAGUCUGCAACUCGACUCCAUGAAGUCGGAAUCGCUAGUAAUCGUAGAUCAGAAUGCUACGGUGAAUACGUUCCCGGGCCUUGUACACACCGCCCGUCACACCAUGGGAGUGGGUUGCAAAAGAAGUAGGUAGCUUAACCUUCGGGAGGGCGCUUACCACUUUGUGAUUCAUGACUGGGGUGAAGUCGUAACAAGGUAAGCGUAGCGAG